rnacentral:miRNA from 1 species
UAAAAGCACCGCCGCGCACA